GAAAUAAAAAAAUUAAGCUUCUAACUUUAUAAAAGAUAUAAAUAUAUCUAUAUUUCU
rnacentral:tRNA from 1 species